AGUGAACGCUGGCGGCAGGCCUAACACAUGCAAGUCGAACGGAAGCACAAGAGAGCUUGCUCUCUGGGUUGCGAGUGGCGGGCGGGAGAGGAAUGCAUCGGACUCUGCCCAUUUGUGGGGGUUAACCUCGGGAAACCGAGACUAAUACCGCAUACGACCUGCGGGUGAAAGCUGGGGAUCUUCGGACCUUGCGCAGAUGGAUUAGCCGUUGCCGGGUUAGCUAGUAGGAGGGGAAAAGGCCAACGAAGGCGCCGAUCCGUACCUGGUCGGAGAGGAUGAACAGCCCCACGGGGACUGAGACCCGGCCCAGCUCCCACGGGGAGCAAGCAGUGGGGAAUAUUGGACAAGGGGGGAAACCUUGAGCAGGCAAGGCCGCUUGUUUGAAGAAGGCCUUCGGUUGGUAAACCACUUUUGUUGGGAAAGAAAAGUAGCCGGUUAAUACUCGGUUGUUAGGCCGGAACCAAAAGAAAAAGCACCGGCUACUUUCGU
rnacentral:rRNA from 1 species